UGAUGAAGAACGUAGCGAAAUGCGAUAAGUAGUGUGAAUUGCAGAAUUCAGUGAAUCAUCGAAUCUUUGAACGCACAUUGCGCCCCUUGGUAUUCCAUGGGGCAUGCCUGUUCGAGCGUCAUUUGUACCUUCAAGCUUUGCUUGGUGUUGGGUGUUUGUCUCGCCUUUGCGUGUAGACUCGCCUUAAAAUAAUUGGCAGCCGGCGUAUUGAUUUCGGAGCGCAGUACAUCUCGCGCUUUGCACUCAUAACGACAGCGUCCAAAAGUACAUUUUACACUCUUGACCUCGGAUCAGGUAGGGAUACCCGCUGAACUUAAGCAUAUCAAUAAGCGGAGGA
rnacentral:misc_RNA from 1 species